rnacentral:rRNA from 1 species
UACAGAGGUCUCAAGCGUUUGUUCGGAUUCAUUGGGCGUAAAGGGUGCGUAGGUGGCGAAGUAAGUCGGGUGUGAAAUCUCGGGGCUUAACCCCGAAACUGCAUUCGAUACUGCUUUGCUCGAGGACUGGAGAGGAGAUUGGAAUUCAUGGUGUAGCAGUGAAAUGCGUAGAUAUCAUGAGGAAGACCAGUGGCGAAGGCGGAUCUCUGGACAGUUCCUGACACUGAGGCACGAAGGCCAGGGGAGCAAACGGGG